rnacentral:lncRNA from 1 species
CGGUCAGCAGUUUAGUCCACGUGGAGAACGGCAGUGAGCUGUGAAGGUGUGCGGCCACGUUCCUGCAUUCCAGACUCUUUUUCUUCUACUGAGACUUAUCUGUGUGAAAUAUGAGUUGGCGAGAAAGACCAACCUAUCGGCCUAGAGUACUAUGAUAUAUACAACUUUCUGAGGUGACUGGGCCUAUGCUGCGCGAGCAGUGCAAUCAUGAACCACCUAAGGAAGUGGAACCACCAUCUCAAAGUCUGGAUCCUGCACCUGCUCAAAAGAGAAAGGAUGAAGGAACAUUGACAGCUCAAGGUGAAGGGCAACCACAGUGUUAAAAGAAGAUACACUGAAAUGAUGCAGGCUGUUCCUAUGUUGGAAAUUUGUUCAUUUAAGUUCUCUCAAUAAAGCUUUAUAGCCUUCUGCAAAGAAGUCUUAUGCAUCUUUUGUGACUUUAUUUCUAGG